AGGGCUCCACCCCCAAGAACCUAGGUGAGGAAAGGCAUUUCCUGCCCAAAUGUUGCAUUUCCCAAGACCACCCUGGCCUGCCACACCCCCAUCCUGGGCCUUUAAAAACCCAAGACCCUAGUGGGCAGACACACAGGCGGCCAGACAGCUGAGGAGCACGUCGGUGGAAGAAAACACAAGCAGCUGGUCGUUGAGAGGACAUGGAGAGGCGCACACCAGCAGAAAAACACACCAACAGGCACCUAGGCUGGCAAGCCGUCGACCAGUGGGGUGAGCCAGAGUUUGGCUGGGCAGUUGGAGGAGACAGGAGAGCCGGGGCCCCUGAGCGGCCCAACGCCAGGGGAAGAUCAUCUCCGUCUGGCUUCCCCAUUGGCUGAGAGCUACUUCCACUCAGUAGAACUUGACACUCAUUCUCCAAGCCCGUGUGUGAUCCGAUUCUUCAGGUACACCAAGGCAAGAACCGGGGAUACAAGAAAACCGUCUGUCUUUGUGACAAGCUCACCCUUGCAGGCAGCAUACCCGCUUGGACUCAGCCAUCCUGGAGGUUUUCAUCUUGCUGUCAACCUUGAAGCACCAGCCUCCACCAUCACAGUGCAGGGUAGACGGCCUGGAGUUUGCGCACCUGCCAAGAAACAUGUAGGUCUGGAGUAACACACGAUGCCUCCUCCAUCCAAUUGUCUGGAACGAGUCCCACACACCACCCUCCCCAGUUUCACAAAACAAAGGGGAAGUGAUAUCCCUUUCUUCCUGGAAGGGAGAGAGCACUUAUAAACAAUAAAACCUUCUUUGAAAUCCUCUUCCAACCAAAUUGCCAUCUCUUGCACGAAAAUUCCAGAGCCAUCAAUAGAGGAUCAAAACUUUUUUUCAAAAGAAAUCAACAGUAUUUGGUUUAUUCUUUUUUCUCUUAAGUAGGGCAGUGCCAGGAUGGGAGUGAAUCUCUGGGCCAAUCUGUGACCACAGAGGCAGGUCUGGGGUACCUUGCAGGACGCUGUCCCUCGCUCAAGCAUCUCUGCUACUACCUGGAGUGAGACCAAAGCCACUGAACCAGCUGACCUGAGAAUCUCGGUCCUAACUCUUCCAGCCAAAUGACUUGAGCAACCGCACCUUUCAUUCACACAGAUUGUCUGUCUCCCCUAUUAGUGUAACCACUUGACCAAGGCAGGCCUUCUCUUCACCUGCUCUGUUCUCUGCUGUAUCCCUGGAGCUAAGAACAUGCCCAAAGUAGGGGCUCAAUAAAUGUCUGCU